AGAGUUUGAUCCUGGCUCAGAUUGAACGCUGGCGGUAUGCUUAACACAUGCAAGUCGAACGGAAACGAUACUAGCUUGCUAGUAGGCGUCGAGUGGCGGACGGGUGAGUAACGCGUAGGAAUCUGCCUGAUAGUGGGGGAUAGCCCGGAGAAAUUCGGAUUAAUACCGCAUAAUCUACACGUAGUAAAGGAGGCCUCUAUUAUUAAGCUUUCGCUAUCAGAUGAGCCUGCGUAAGAUUAGCUUGUUGGUGAGGUAAAAGCUCACCAAGGCGACGAUCUUUAGCUGGUCUGAGAGGAUGAUCAGCCACACUGGGACUGAGACACGGCCCAGACUCCUACGGGAGGCAGCAGUGGGGAAUAUUGGACAAUGGGGGCAACCCUGAUCCAGCAAUACCGCGUGUGUGAAGAAGGCCUGAGGGUUGUAAAGCACUUUCAAUUGUGAAGAAAAGCUAAAGGUUAAUAACCUUUAGCCUUGACGUUAACUCUAGA
rnacentral:rRNA from 1 species